UGCGCAGGCGGUUUGUUAAGCCAGAUGUGAAAGCCCCGGGCUCAACCUGGGAACUGCGUUUGGUACUGGCAAGCUAGAGUACGGCAGAGGGGGGUGGAAUUCCACGUGUAGCAGUGAAAUGCGUAGAGAUGUGGAGGAACACCGAUGGCGAAGGCAGCCCCCUGGGCCGAUACUGACGCUCAGGCACGAAAGCGUGGGGAGCAAACAGGAUUAGAUACCCUGGUAGUCCACGCCCUAAACGAUGCGAACUAGUCGUUGGAGUAGCAAUACUUUAGUGACGCAGCUAACGCGUGAAGUUCGCCGCCUGGGGAGUACGGUCGCAAGAUUAAA
rnacentral:rRNA from 1 species